AUGGGAUUCCACGUGAUCAAUAAUUUCUUUUGUUGAUUACCAAUAUAAAGAUUCAACAAAGGCAAUGCGUUUAAGAAAUGCUGAAAAUCGAAAGAAACAGACUAUACCACACACAGGCGGCUCCAAAGCGAAUGCUACGAGAAGGGCUGAAAUGAUGGCUCAGACUGGACAAAGGCCUGGACGAGCACAAAUAUACCUCUUGCAAUGUCAAGAUGGAGUAUAUGUUAAUGAAGCAGCAAAAGAAAUAUGCGUAAGUUUCUGUGAAUUCUCAACUUAUCUCAAGAAACAAAUCAUGAGGAUUGGGGAGUAGGGCAGAUAAUUGAAGCGAGCUAAUGCUGGUUUUUGUACUGAAAAACUGAUCGGUUGUCAUCUGAUUGAAGUUUUUUGUUCAAGG